GACGAACGCUUGCGGCGUGCCUAAGAAAUGCAAGUCGAGCGAGGUUUAGGCUUCGGCCGACGACCUAGCGGCGAACGGUCGCGUAACACGUAAAGCAACCUGCCCUAAAGUUGGGGAUAGCCCGCCGAAAGGCGGAUUAAUACCGAAUGUGGAUAUGUAUUCGCAUGUAUAUAUAUCUGAAGCAGCGAUGCGCUUUAGGAUGGGCUUGCGGCCUAUCAGUUAGUUGGUGUGGGUAACGGCCUACCAAGACGACGACGGGUAGCUGGUCUGAGAGGAUGGUCAGCCGGAUUGGGACUGAGACACGGCCCAGACUCCUACGGGAGGCAGCAGUGGGGGAUAUUAGUCAAUGGGGGAAACCCUGAACUAGCGACGCCGCGUGAAGGAAGAAGGUCUUCGGAUUGGUAAACUUUUUGUCUUUCAGGGACGAAGCAAGUGACGGUACCUGAGGGGAACCGACGGCUAACUACGUGCCAGCCAGCCCGCGGUAAGAUAGCGUACU
rnacentral:rRNA from 1 species